rnacentral:rRNA from 1 species
UACGUAGGUGGCAAGCGUUAUCCGGAAUUAUUGGGCGUAAAGCGCGCGCAGGUGGUUUCUUAAGUCUGAUGUGAAAGCCCACGGCUCAACCGUGGAGGGUCAUUGGAAACUGGGAGACUUGAGUGCAGAAGAGGAAAGUGGAAUUCCAUGUGUAGCGGUGAAAUGCGUAGAGAUAUGGAGGAACACCAGUGGCGAAGGCGACUUUCUGGUCUGUAACUGACACUGAGGCGCGAAAGCGUGGGAGCAAACAGG